rnacentral:rRNA from 1 species
UACAGAGGUCCCGAGCGUUGUUCGGAUUCAUUGGGCGUAAAGGGUGCGUAGGCGGCGCGGAAAGUUGGGUGUGAAAUCCCUCGGCUCAACCGAGGAACUGCGCCCAAAACUACCGUGCUCGAGGAAGAUAGAGGUGAGCGGAACUUAGGGUGGAGCGGUGAAAUGCGUUGAUAUCCUAAGGAACACCGGUGGCGAAAGCGGCUCACUGGAUCUUUUCUGACGUUGAGGCACGAAAGCUAGGGUAGCGAACGGG